rnacentral:rRNA from 1 species
UACGGGGGGUGCGAGCGUUGUCCGGAAUCACUGGGCGUAAAGGGUGCGUAGGCGGCGCGGUAAGUCGGGUGUGAAAUCUCGGGGCUUAACUCCGAAACUGCAUUCGAUACUGCCGUGCUUGAGGACUGGAGAGGAGACUGGAAUUUACGGUGUAGCGGUGAAAUGCGUAGAUAUCGUAAGGAAGACCAGUGGCGAAGGCGGGUCUCUGGACAGUUCCUGACGCUGAGGCACGAAGGUCAGGGGAGCAAACGGG